rnacentral:misc_RNA from 1 species
CCACUCUCUCCCUAUCCUUGUGCGUUUUCUCGAGUUGUAAACACUUGCUCGUGUUGCACGGUUUGCCCACGGUGCCCAUCGUGCUUUGCCAGCACUCGUGAGAUGGAGCGCGUUGCUGAUGAUGUGCAGCGUGCGCAUCAAAGUUUACUCCCUACUGAAACGUACCGGAUUAGUGGCAACAAAGGGCUCCAGCUUCUCGACGCAUUGGCGUACGAUCCACUGGCGCUGGCGCUGUGCUCUCUGUCCGGCAGAGCUUCCUUUGCCGUGGCUGCGGUGUCGCCUAGUGCGCGUCUGUAUAGCGAGCUUCUCUUUGGCGCCAUCGGCAACAGCAACCCGACGGUCGAUCUCUCUGGGAACCGCGUUUUCCACACAGUCGAGUACGGGCGAGUACCCUAUGAUUUGCGCCAGGUGCUUUACUUUUCCGGCUGGUGGCUAAAGAAGAGCGCUCUCCCCUUGAAGGCCAAGGGCGCCUCUGCCAUGUACACGCUGCUUGCCGCCCCUGCGGACGUCUCGUCCAGGGUCGAAGCGGUCGAACUUGGCUUGAAGGAGUACUACGCCCUGAACCCGUACGCGCUGCAACCUGAGCGAGUCGAUGCGCGAGUUACGGGCGAGAUCGACAAUGCACUCUGCACAGCUCUGGCGUCACCGACACUUCACUUGCGUUCCCUACACGUUGGCGGCUGCAGCAACACCACUUUGCAGCUGAUUUGGAAGCUUCCACAGCUGACGGACCUUUCCAUCAAUGGCAUGCACGGAGCCCAGCUUUCCAUGGACCGGCUGGCGUGUGCCUGUCGCUUGAAGAGCCUGUCGCUUGUCGGCGCACAAUUUGAGCAGCUCGCCUUCUUCGAGGUCUGCCGAGCGCUCGUGGACGUGAAUCUCGUGUACUGUCGUGACUUGCGCAGCCUCGGUCCACUGGCACGUGCCGCGCAACUGAGAUACCUUACUGUUUCGAACAGCGACGUGGAGAAUAUUGACGGCCUUGACGAAUGUGUGAGCCUGGAAAGCGUGAGAUUCAUCGAAUGCGAACGACUCACAAGUCUCGCACCGCUUGCCGGGGCUCCGCGGCUGCGGACUCUCUCUGCCACGCGCUGCGCCUUGCGCGACAUUCAUGGACUGCAUACGUGUCCGCAUCUGGAAAGUGCGGAUUUCAGCUGCUGUGCCGAGCUAUUGAGCCUCGCGCCGCUGUCAGGUUCACCGCGGCUGAAAACGAUCAACGCGGCGUGGAGCGGUGUGGAGGAUAUCCAGGGGCUGCACUUAUGCCCACAACUCGAGACUGUCGACUUCACAGAGCUAAAGCAACUACGGAGCCUGACAGCGUUGACCGGAGCUGUGCGGCUGAGGGUGAUCAACGCGAUGCUGAGCGGUACCGAAACCGUCGACGGCCUUAACCGGUGCCUACAGCUGGAGAGUGUGAACUUGACUGACUCACGCCGACUCACGAGUCUUGCACCGUUGGCCGGUGCUCCACGAUUACGGAUUCUCAACGCUCGCGGCUGCCCUGUAACCCUCAUCGAUGGGCUUGGCACUUGUCCGCAGCUCGAACAUGUCAGCUUCCAAUGCGCAAAGGGGCUGACGAGUCUCCUGCCGUUGGCCGGUGCGGCACAGCUGAGAGUUGUCGAUGCGUCCUGGACCGGCUUGCAGAGCGUCGACGGGCUGGACCGGUGCUCGAGACUAGAGUGCGUUGACUUUACCGGUUGUCGUGGGGUGGUGAGUCUUGCGCCACUGUCCGGGUCGCCACGGUUGCGCGUCAUCAAGGCAUCUGAAAGUGCCGUCAACAACGUUGAUGGACUGAACACCUGCCCCCAGCUCGAGCGCCUCCACGUCAACCGUUGCACGCGGUUAGCCAGUCUCGCACCGUUGGCGGGCGCGCCGCGGCUGCACAGCAUAAAUGCCUGCUGGAGUGGACUGGAGAACGUGAGCGGACUUAACCGGUGUCCGCGUCUGGUGUUCCUUGAUGUCAGCCACUGCCGCCAAUUGCGAAGUCUCGCACCGCUCUCUGGUUCGCCGAGUUUACGCAGGAUCGAAGCGAAUCACAGCGCGCUGCAGCACUUGGAUGACGUCGACAUAUCGGCCAAAGUUCAUUUCGACUAUGUCUGGAUAAGGCUCUCGCGUCGCGGACGAAAUCCGGCAACGGCCUCUCAUGACGAUGCACCGACGAUGGGUGGUGGGAGCAAGCCACACAUGAUCCCCAAAGGGCCGAUCACUGGAUGCGCAUGAAUGCCGGAGGAUCGCGAUUGAUCAGUACGCGAAUGCAACGUAUUUUGUGGACGGUGAUGUGGAGAGCCGCCGUUUGCCCAGAGUGGCGGACUGUGACACAUGCCUUGCUCAGUGGUGGUUAUUCUUAGCUUUUUUCGCGUGCAUUUUUGUCUUUUACCUUCUCCCCGGUAACUGCGGGCGAAUAGUGUCUUGCCGCGGCGUCUGCUUUACAUGAUUUCAUGCUGCACGCGCGCGUUUUUCCCCCUUUUUCAUCUCUUUUCCCUCUACGGGUUCUCACCCAUGGCUCUAGCAAGGCGCACGGUUAUCCGGGUACCUUGUUCUGCCCUGUUCUUGCUAAAAGUGUCAGUAGCACUCCCGCAAGGACACAUAUUCGUUUGCUUGUGCUGUGCUUUCGACGUGACCGGAUACUCCUUUGUGAAACCCUGACGUGUGUUGCAGAUGUGCACUGUGACUGGGAGCGAAAAAAAGCUGCCGCGCACAAGAGCGGCUGCUCGCACGUCUCACGUUCAUCUUCACCUCGCCGUUGCCGUGCGGUAUGCUGAGGACCCACCUAAUUGUUGUUUGUGUGAGGUUUCAGCGCCAGUCUUCUGACAUCUCAGCGAGGUUAAUACCUCUGUUGUGUACUGCAGGGCUAGGUCUCCAAGAACAAGGCCCUCUUUCACCCCCCUCUUGCACAUAAAUUAUUUUUCCGUAACCCCCUACCUUUAUUGUAUGCGUGUGCCUCGACGACCGCUUGUUGUCCCUUUACUCGGUCCCUAAUGUUUGUACUGUCUCCUUGCUCCGUGUUUGUUUUGUUUGGUUGUUACCCUUUAUCGGAAUCGUCUCUUUCUAUUUUUCUUGUUGUAGUUGACGUGCCGGCGUGUGCAGCGUUUCUGUUUCCUCGCUUGUUCAGAAGCAGGUAGAAUCACAACACGCGACGAAGCAAAUAUCUGGCGGGAUGCACCCCCAGCUAUCAGGACGCGUGCGAUACUCGACAGUCAACGUCUCGUCAGCGUGGCGAAGCUGUCGUCGAGGGCCGAGUCCUAAUGCUACCGCAGGCUGGAGUGCGCAUGUGAUGCCCGCGACACAACGGUGACGGUGGUGAGGGUUUGCUAGGACCUCGCCUCCUGCUUUUCUUCUCCGGCAGCGGUGCGAAAGGUGGCCAUCUCUUUUUCCGUCGGAAUAGGAGGCGUCCCGACACGGCGGCGUCUUUGGAGCAACGCAUGGACUCGUCACUCUGGAGAUACUUGCAGGUUGCUGUUGUUUUGGAGUGCUGCAGCAUCGUCGACACAGUAUCCCCACUGUGCGACGCAUGCGCCGCAGCGACUUUAAAGGUGCUGCCUACUGCUGUUUUUUUUACUAAGACCGUCAAUGCGUCCCUUUUUAGCUGACAAACUGGAGUGCUUCUUUGACCCCCUUCCCCAACACAUGCGCAGACAUGUGGGGCCCUUUCCGCCUCUCUGUACGCUCAAC